UACGGAGGGGGGCUAGCGUUGUUCGGAAUUACUGGGCGUAAAGCGCGCGUAGGCGGCUUAGCAAGUUAGAGGUGAAAGCCCCGAAGCUCAACUUCGGAAUUGCCUUUAAAACUGCAAAGCUAGAAUCAUGGAGAGGUGAGUGGAAUUCCGAGUGUAGAGGUGAAAUUCGUAGAUAUUCGGCAAGAACACCAGUGGCGAAGGGCGGCUCACUGGCCCGGUACCGACGCUGAGGUGCGAAAGCGUGGGGAGCAAACAGG
rnacentral:rRNA from 1 species